AUUGAACGCUGGCGGCAGGCCUAACACAUGCAAGUCGAGCGAGCGGCGGACGGGAGAGUAAUGUAUGGGGAUCUGCCCGAUAGAGGGGGAUAACUACUGGAAACGGGGGCUAAUACCGCAUACUAACGGAUGAACCCAUAUGGGAUUAGCUAGUAGGUAAGGUAACGGCUUACCUAGGCGACGAUCCCUAGCUGGUCUGAGAGGAUGACCAGCCACACUGGAACUGAGACACGGUCCAGACUCCUACGGGAGGCAGCAGUGGGGAAUAUUGCACAAGGGGCGCAAGCCUGAUGCAGCCAUGCCGCGUGUAUGAAGAAGGCCUUCGGGUUGUAAAGCACUUUCAGUGGGGAGGCGUUACCGGCAGAAGAAGCACCGGCUAACUCCGUGCCAGCAGCCGCGGUAAUUC
rnacentral:rRNA from 1 species